rnacentral:rRNA from 1 species
AUUGAACGCUGGCGGCAGGCCUAACACAUGCAAGUCGAACGGUAGCACAGAGAGCUUGCUCUUGGGUGACGAGUGGCGGACGGGUGAGUAAUGUCUGGGAAACUGCCCGAUGGAGGGGGAUAACUACUGGAAACGGUAGCUAAUACCGCAUAACGUCUUCGGACCAAAGAGGGGGACCUUCGGGCCUCUUGCCAUCGGAUGUGCCCAGAUGGGAUUGGCUAGUAGGUGGGGUAAUGGCUCACCUAGGCGACGAUCCCUAGCUGGUCUGAGAGGAUGACCAGCCACACUGGAACUGAGACACGGUCCAGAGUCCUACGGGAGGCAGCAGUGGGGAAUAUUGCACAAUGGGCGCAAGCCUGAUGCAGCCAUGCCGCGUGUAUGAAGAAGGCCUUCGGGUUGUAAAGUACUUUCAGCGAGGAGGAAGGCAUUGUGGUUAAUAACCGCAGUGAUUGACGUUACUCGCAGAAGAAGCACCGGCUAACUCCGUGCCAGCAGCCGCCGUAACAC